rnacentral:rRNA from 1 species
AACGAACGCUGGCGGCAUGCUUAACACAUGCCAGUCGAACGAGACCUUCGGGCCUAGUUGCGCACCUGUGCGUACCGCCUGGUAACUUGCCCUUAGGUUCGGUGUCACUCCCCGUAAGAGGUCCUAAUACCGGUUGAUCUCUUCGGACAUAAGAGUUCUCGCCUUUUGAUGGGCCCUCGUUGGAUUAGCUAGUUGGUAGUGUAAAAGCCUAGCAAUGCGACGAUCCAUAGCUGGUCUGAUAGCAUGAUACUCCACACUGGGACUGCGACACGGCCUAGACUGCGACGGAGGGGAGCAGUGUGGAGUAUUAGACGAUGAGCGAAAGCCUAACACAGCAGUGCGGCGUGAGUGAUGAAGGGCGUAGGAUUGUAAAGCUCUUUUACCCGGGAUGAUAAUGACAGUACUGGGAGAAUAAGCUCCGGCUAACUACGUG